CGACCCCAGGUCAGGCGGGGUUACCCG
rnacentral:rRNA from 1 species